CAUCCACCGCAGAAGCUCAGAGCUAUUUUUCUCUUGUCGGCUUCGUUUUUACUUUCAUUUUUCUCUCCCCAAUGUGUCUAAUAUUUUUAUUACGAGUAAACGUCAGCCUGGCUAAGAUCCAAGAACGUUAAGCGCCGUGGAGGAGGGAGCCGUUAUUUCAAUCGCGCAAUGAUUGGAAAAUAUCGGGUAACUGUAAAACGGGACACAGGCCAGUCUCCUUAAGUGCAGGCUACCGCAAUCAAAGUCACCACGAUUUACACAAUUCCAGGAUGGAAGCUAACUGUACACACCUGUGAUUCCUGCGCUGGACUGCAAUUUCAAAACGUUCUCCCAGGAUUGCAGCUGGAGCU